AGACCACACUGAUCGAGAGAAAGAGAGAGAGAGCGAGAGAGAGAGAAACAGAUAGUUUGGAUGGGGUUUCAAUAGAGAGAGAGAGAGAGAGCGACUGUUUCUUUGCGUGCAGAGACAAAGAGAGAGUAGAAAGCAGAAGACGAGAAAUCAGUUUCGGAGGAGGUGUGUGCCAAAGAUUUUAAUCGGUUUUGGGAGGGAGAGUUCAGCAAAAAUUUGGGAGAAGACCUGAACUAUCACCAAAAGCUUGGGAGCUUUCAGCAAAAGUUGCCAAGAUUGUGGGAGCGACUCCCAUUGUUACAGAAGAUCACACUCAGCCAUCAAAAUCAACAGCAGCAAACACUUGUCUAUGCUCUAGCUUUUCAAUAGCUCCGAGAACCAAACUUUUUUUACACUCUCAGAGAGAAAGAUUGGGUUGGGAACAAAUAGAAAAGAGAUAUGAUAUGCUAGAGUUUAUAUAUGAUUACUACUACAUGAAAUUGUUGUGGCUUUGAAACCCCCAGGCCUGAGUUUUCAGGGAGGAUACCUGAGAGCUGAUAAAGAGAAAGCUAUAUUAGGCUUAUCGUGGACAUGUUGAAAAUUGUUGAAGGGAUGAAGUCAUUCAGUCUCCGAUCAAUAUGCAAACACUUGAGAUGCUGGAGAAGGAGGAAAAGCUCCUUGGCAGCGUUGUAAUAAAGAAACAGGACUGUUUCUAUGAGUCGCAUUUGUAAUUGAUUGGGGGUUCUUCAAAAUUGAAUCCUAAAGACGGUCUAGAGACGAAGGGGGAGACUCUUGGUGGAUUGGGUGUGUACUGAAAAUGGAGCAGGCCAACCAGAGGUGAGCUAGGUUUUGAGUUCUUGGUGAAUAGGAGUGGGCAGCCUUAUCUGAUUCAGACAAAUACCUUAAUCAGGUUGCUAUUCUUGAAGAAGGUGUGUCAUUGCAAGCCAAACUUUGAAAUAGGUAUAUGCUUAAGUUCAAACAUCCUCUAUUUUUGUUAAAUUUGUGCUCUUCCUUCUGACCUCAAAUGAGUCUCUUUUCUUAGAUUUAGUAACUCUCAGGAACAGAUUUUUCAUUUCUUUGUUUUUGAUUGCAUAUUCAUGUUCUUCAAUUCUGGAUCUUUAGGUUACGGGUUUGUUUCUGCAAAUUGAACCUCUUAAGUGCAAAAACUACUACACAUCAUCAAGUAUUUGAAUGAUGAAAGGACCAAAAAUAAAUGGCCCAUCCCUUUGCUGCAACUCUUGCCCUGAACGUUGUAAAAUACACUCCAUUGUUUUCCCGACUACUCAGUCACUACCUUCCAGAUUCCUAUUUGUUCCAUUUCAUAACACAGUUGCCAUUUGUUCUUAGUUUACAUUGAGUUACUCUCUCCCUCAUUUUACUUCAUUGUCAGUUUCUGCCCCCAACACAUCGAGCCUGUCAUUAACUUUGUAUCAUAUAUAGCUAAUUAAUAAACACUAAGACCACCUUGAACAAUCAAUGACAACCAAGGAAGAAGAUUCAAGGCUCUCUGACCUUCAGCUAGCCCGCACAAAUCUGUCAUAUUUGGCACAACAAACCACUUAUCUUAAUCUUAAUGUUGGUGAGACCUCAUGUUUUUAUGUAUCAAAUUAUAAUAUGAACAUUAUUGGUGUAUGUGACAGAAUAUAACAGUCGCAUAUUGCACGGUUCAAGAUGCUCUUUCAUAUAUUGGCAUCUUUCUGCUCCUUCACAUAGACAAGCAUAUGUUUAUGUGGAACUUCUCUUUUCGUUUUGUUGUUUUAAAAUUGAUAUGACUAUGGAGCUUCUGGUGAUAAUGGGUGUUACUAACUAUAUAUCACUGCAUUAAACUACUUUGAAUCUGAGAUGGUAUAGGAGCAGAUUGCAAAGUUGGAGUUUAAUUAAUCAGUCUCAAGUGCAGCUUCAAAUAUCUUUUGAACUUGGUAAAAAUUGAAACCAACAAGAAGGAGACAGAUUAGAUUAACAAUUACUUUGGAUUUACUUUCUAAUUUGAGUCGCACACUAUUUCUCCAUUUACAGGUACUGCUGGUAGAAACAUUCACAAUCAGGAAGAAUUUCCAGGUCGUACAAUGGCAAUUAUUUUAAGUGUUUCUGCAAAUUUAACUCUCGAUUUCUCAAAUUUCUUUGUUUUGUUUUUGAGCUAGAAUAGAAGGAAAGUGCAAUAAUGAGCUAGGGGAAUCCCAACAGAAAGAAACAACCAUCCUAUACAACAUGAAUUUUAGUCAUGAGCAAACUGAUUGUUGAAAAGUGAUUAUGUCUCAGCACUGUAUUAGAUUCUCCCAUAUUUCCUGAGGUUUACCACAAUCAACAAUCAAAUUUUAGUACACUUUUUUUUUUUUUUUUGAAGUUUUGUAUUUUCAUUUUUUAUGUUAUUACCUAAUUGUGCAAUGUUCGUUUUCC